UGAGGGAAUAUUUGGGGUCAAUGGUCGCGAGACUGAACCAGCCAAGUAGCGUGCAGGAUGACGGCCCUCUGGGUUGUAAACUGCUUUUAGUUGGGAAUAAAAGGCGGUACGUGUACCGCGUAUUGUAUGUACCAUCAGAAAAAGGACCGGCUAAUUCCGUGCCAGCAGCCGCGGUAAUACGGAGGGUCCAGGCGUUAUCCGGAUUUAUUGGGUUUAAAGGGAGCGCAGGCGGUCUUAUAAGCGUGACGUGAAAUGCAGCGGCUCAACCGUAUGAUGUGCGUCGCGAACUGUGAGACUUGAGUGUAUUCGAUGUC
rnacentral:rRNA from 1 species